GAGGAUGCUGAAUGCUCCGAGGUCAGACCCAGGAAGGUGGAAGCUGUGUGAGCUGUGUGUCCUGAAGACAGGCUGCUCACAGAAAGGCGACUGCCCCAGAGUCCUGACUGGCUUCAUGGGGAGCAGUUCCAGAGCAUCGCCCAGGGACUCCGUGACACUGGGCCAUACGUGGGGGACUAAACACUCCUAGCCCCCCUCCUCCCACAGAGCGGGGCUGGUGCCCGUGGCAUGUUCGAGGGGAGAACUGCCCUUUCUGAUGCCCCAGAACCAGACUGUCCCAUGCAGUAUCAAUCUCCCCCCAUUAAGCUCCCGCUCUCGCGGCUUCUCUCCCUUCUCCAGCCCCCCAACCCAUGUCCUGUACGUCAUUCCUCCUCUCUUCCCUCUGCCCUUCCUCCCCCAUGGCAGCUCCCAUCUGCCCCCACAUGGGCUUCAGUUCCCCCCACAACCGCCCCCUCUAGGCCUGGGCUCAGCAAUGCUAGAGUGAUGCUUCCACUGGUGUGUCAUGGCUGAACUUCAGCAUGACGCACCCCACUGAGGGUCAUGGGGGAGCUCACCCUUGGCCGAGCUCUUGUUUCAGGCUCUCUGCAGACACAGGCAGAUGUCAUGAUCACCUUUGAAGGGUUUCUUCGCCACCAGAAGAGGCUAGAUGCUCAGAUUCUGAAUAUGGGCCCGGGCCACAUCACGGCACCAAGCGGGUGAGAUGCAGCCUGUGGGCGGCUUGACUGGCAGCCCCGCAGGGGAUGAUGCUGGAGCUGCCUUCUGUCCGAGGAGCUGUUACACCUGGGUCCUCACCACUCCUGGGCCCUGAAGAUCCUGUCGCGCUUCCUGCAAGGAAGGUUCAUCGUGUGGGAGCCACAGCCCAGCCCAGCCCAGUGGCAUCAGCUCCUCUCGCACCAAGGCUGGAGCUGUCUCUAUGGGCUUCCCUGCCUGAGGAAUCUGGUGCUGUGCCCUGGGUGGAGAAUGGCUGCUCUGCCCCACCCCAGGAGUAGCUGCAUCUCCGGAGUCAGUAAAGCACGCGGGGCUCCCGCCGCAUGGCAGGUGCUCGGGCAAUAGACGGGCUGCUUAUUACUGGGCAUGUGAGAAGCAGACUCGUGAGCCCCUGGUUCGGAGAUGAGCCUGAGCUGGCUCUGAGUGGGUCCCUCUGGCCUGGCCGCUCCACGGGGCUGGGGCUGUUGCUCCUCGCUGUGUGGCUGCGGGGUCAGACUUGGCUCAGGGCAGGCAGUGCAAGGGCCCAGGGGUCAUGCUCUGGGAUGACUCAGAAUUUACCUCAGUGGGUCCCUCUGCCCGGAGGCCGAGCAGUUGUUGCAUGGCACCAGCCUGUCACAGGCGGCAGAGCAAACACAUCAGCGGGCUGGGGGAGCGGGGUGGGGGCAUCCCCCCGGCACCUGCCGCUGCAAGGCAGCGGUGUGAUGGCUGGGCACUGUUGGCAUGUUCUGCUGCCAGGCAGGCGAGUUAUACCAGCCCCAGGCUGGCACAUGCAGCAGAUGGGCAGGUGCGCUCUACUAAAGCCAGCCAGGCAGUUGCAUUACACUCCGGUGAGCCAGGCACCGCAGGCUGGGGUUGGCGCUAACCGAGCACGGUCUGGGCCCCAUUCCACGUCAGCUUCAGCCUCUGCAGCGAGGCUCUAGCCACCUGGCGCCCGGCUGCAGCCCUAGUGGCUCACCCCGUCUCCGGCCUCCUGCCCUGGCACUUUCAUUUUCCCCCUGCCUGCUGGGGCUGGAGGGGCCGGAGUCACCUGGGUCCUUGAAGCAGCGAGGUGUGGGAGGAAGGUAUGGGAAGGCGGGGGCAGGGAGGGAUAUUCACCAGUCCCUCAUUCACCUCCGAGCACUGAAAGUCCUGCCUGGUGCCUUGUUAAUGCCCGGCCCGAUCAUGGCCCUGGCCCGGCAGCCAGGGCUCUCCAGGGAUCACAGAGUGGCAGGACCGGGUGAAGCUGUGCUAAUCCUGCUGCUGGGCUCGGGCGUGGGGUGGGCUCAGCCAGGACUCCCCGUGCAGACCCGCAAAGAGCCAGAGUGUCCCAGGCCCACUUGUUUGUCUCUUCCACGAGAGGCUGAUGCAGGUGAGCAGCCGGGCAGCUAGGGCUGCGUGAUUCAGCCCAUGGGAGGGGGAAAUGGAAACACAAACAACUGCUCCAGGAUGGCCGGGCACUCGACCCGCUGGGCAGAGCUGAGCCAGGAUGCUUCAGAGCCUCCAAGGGCAGCAACAAAGGCUAGGGAUUGGCAGGCCACAGGGGCCAGUCUGAGCUCCUGUGUCCCCCAGGCCAGCGAGUCCCCGCCAGUUCCAGGGGUCAGGUGUGGGCUAGGUUCCCAUAAACAGAGACCAGGGUCUGGGGGGUUGGCAGAAGAGGCUGUUCCAGUGCUCUCAGCCCCACCCCCAGCAGGGGCAGGACCUGGCCCAUGGGCGCUCUCCUGCUUUUCUUAUUGUUUGUCUGUUCUGGGGCCCGAGCCUGGGCCCAGUGCGUUUCUCCCGCAGAACAGCCUUCUCGGGGGUGGUGAGUGCCUAUACCUGCCUCCGCCCCUGCUCCCGCUGCACCCUGGAGCCAUGGCCAUUAAAAGGCUCCGGCUCCCUAGAGCAAUACAGAUGUAACCAGCCCCCUCCCCUUGGGACUGGAACGUUGGGACUGAAGCCACGAGAAAGUGGUCUCAGUCCAUUGGCAGAGCUGUGGGGAAGGGGGAGCCCAGGGCUGGGAUAACAGGGGUCUGCGGGUCGGGAUUGAGGGGCACUAGCAGAGCCGGGGAUGGGUAGCUUGCACAGUCCCUGCCCAGCUUUGCCUGGCACCUGCUUGCGCUGUGGGCCCCUCACUUUCACAAGCACCAAAUCCAGGCGUUGCAAUAAACCAAGUCACGCGGGGCGUGGAGAAGAGGGCAGACCCCCAGCCCCACCUGGGCUCAGGGCUGUGCCCCUCUGCUGCCAGUCUGGCAGGGCAAUGGCUACCUGCACCUACCUGGGCAAGGCGUGUCGCGGUGACACUGUCCCCAGAGCCCAGGCUUCCCUGCUCUGGCCUGGGAGGCUGAUUUCCCCGUGCCAGGGGACUGGGCGCUCACGUUUUCUGCCUGCUCAGUGAAGGAGCCUGUGACCAGCUCCUAUUCAGCCUGAGCGUGGAAGAUUAACUGCAAGACCUCCCCAUCGCUGUCCUCCCAAAGGCCAACACCACUUGCCUGGCGAACAAUACCUGUCCACCCACCACCCACUGAGAAAGAGGAGGAAGCUUGGCGGGGUGAUGGCUCCCUCUUUUCUGACGUACCCACUGGGAACGCGGGGUUGUAUAUAAGGAGGGGACGCGCUGCCUGCCUGACACUUCACUCAGCAGCCAGGACAGCAAGCGCCAGGAAAGAGCAGAGCCAGCAAAGGCUAUUUCCAGAGAUGAACCUGAUGCUUCAAGUCACCUUCCUUGGUCUCCUGUCCCUGCUGGUGCAGGGCUGGGUUCAGAACCGAUCCCUGCAGAGUGAGAGAUGGAGCAUGCUGGACCUGCCGCAGAACAGAGAACUGUUCCUAAGUGCCCUGCAGAGCUACUUCAGCAGCAGAGGGAUCCACAUAGAGAAAACUGGGCCGGCCUUUGUGCUGUCCACGAGGAAUCGCAACCUGGGGGACCAGGGAGAACGAGAGCUGGUGGCCCCCGAGAGGGGGGUAGAUGACUAGGAAGAGCUGAUGGCAGGUGGAGUCUUGGCAAUACGAUCUCGUCGGCCUCUGAGUACGUCACAGUGAUUCACUGACUCUCUCCUGCCGCUGCGCUGCUGUGCACACAAGCCGCACACGCACACGAGUGACCUUUUUACAUUUGCUGGGCUCUGCCUGCAAUGCUGCGCCGUAGGUUUUGGAUUCAAUAAA